AGAGUUUGAUCCUGGCUCAGGACGAACGUUGGCGGUGCGCUUAAUGCAUGCAAGUCGAGGGAGAACCUUUCGAUCCGUAAGGACCGAAUGGGGAAACCGGCGAACGGGUGCGUAACACGUGAGGAACCUGCCCCGAAGACCGGGAUAGCCCGAGGAAACUCGGAUUAAUACCGGAUACCCUCCUCGGACCACAUGGUCUGUUGAGGAAAUGGUCCGCCGCUUCGGGAUGGCCUCGCGGCCUAUCAGCUUGUUGGUGAGGUAAUGGCUCACCAAGGCAAAGACGGGUAGCUGGUCUGAGAGGACGAUCAGCCACACUGGGACUGAGACACGGCCCAGACUCCUACGGGAGGCAGCAGCAGGGAAUAUUGCACAAUGGGCGAAAGCCUGAUGCAGCGACACCGCGUGCGGGAUGAAGGCCCUCGGGUUGUAAACCGCUUUCAGGAGGGACGAAAAUGACGGUACCUCCAGAAGAAGGCCCGGCCAACUACGUGCCAGCAGCCGCGGUAAUACGUAGGGGCCAAACGUUGUCCGGAUUUAUUGGGCGUAAAGGGCUCGUAGGCGGUUCAACAAGUCGAUCGUGAAAGCCCGGGGCUCAACCCCGGGACGCCGGUCGAAACUGUUGUGACUAGGGUCCGGUAGAGGUGAGUGGAAUUCUCGGUGUAGCGGUGGAAUGCGCAGAUAUCGAGAGGACACCAGUUG
rnacentral:rRNA from 1 species